GGGAUUGUAGUAUAGUGGUCAGUACUUCUCGUUGUGGUUAUUCGACACAGCGAUCCGAGAGGACCCAGGUUCGAUUCCUGGCAAUCCCA